AGCGAAACAGAUAGACAGAUAGUAAUAAGACAGAUAGAUAGCAGGAGCGUUUAAGGGUUUUGCGAAGGCAUCGAGGUAAGGAAGGCAAAGUUUGUCCCGAUGUGAAUCCAGACAAUGACGAUCCGCCACGCCAUGGCGUUGUUACCGUUGUUGAAGUAGAUCAGGGUAAAUAAAAAUACAGUCCCCACGAUUUAGUUUGUCACAACAGGAGCAACCGAGCAACAAGAGAGCAACCGGAGAUCAACCGAAAGAUUGAUGGACCAGCGUAUUGGGUUGAGGGAGAUGGAUUUUUUUAGUUUUUUUGUUUCAAUGUUUUUCGACAAAUACAGCCAUUGCAACACGAUUUGGUCCGGGAAAGCGUGAGGAUUUGUGCAAAUGUAGCGUGGAGUGAUAGAUUGGGAAGUGAUAAGAAUGUUAUUGGGGCAAAUUUGUAUCGAGCCAGCAACAUAAAACGGACCAAAGCGGGUGACGCAGCGGGUGAGAUUUCAUUCGUCGAUGAUCAUUGGAUGGAAUUUGAUGAGUCGUUUUUGUUGUUGGUUUUGUUGUUGCAGAUUCACACAAUUGAUUGGGGUUUUUGAUUACAGUUGUACAGAAUGCACACAAGAGAACAGACGUAAAUAUAAACAUCCAUCAACACGAUCACACACGGUAUCAGAGCAAGUGAGAGCAAUACAUUUAGAGAGAAAAGAGAAAGAGAGCAAGAAAAGAGAAACAUAGUGUAAGAGAACAAGAAACAACAAGUAAACGGUUCGUAACAAUUAACUUAAGAAGUAAAACAUGGCAUUUAAACACACAAACACAGGUUGAGCAGAGUACUAAUUUUUUAGAGGAUUGUUUGUUGUUGUUUUUUCGUUUGUUUUAUUAAAGUUCGGAUGAGUUGGAGUAGCAGUUGAACGAGAUUAGGUAAGAUAGAUGAGAAAUAAGACAAACCCCAAGACAGACGGAGUAAGAGAAGGAGAGAGAGAUAGAUAUAAAGAAGAGAAUGGAAACAAAACACAGCACAUGUUUGAAGCACGCAAAGCAAAGAUUGAGCAUUAGAUUGGAUUAGAGCUAAAGGCCUAUUCGCUUUGAAGCGCUAUUGUGUGUAAAACGCUCUACAUAGUUUCAAUUACCUCCCUGCAAUAGUGACCUAAGCUCAGAUUCUAUUUAAAGAAAACUGUAAAUAAUUGCUACAAA